AUGAAUAAUUUAAACAGUAAGAGAUUAUCUAUCCGCAUAGCUCCUUAUGCGCUUUGGGAUCGGACUAGAAGGGGAUCAUUGUUUGGGAGUGAUAUGUCAAUAAAGAUAUCUCUUAUGCAAAUCAUGAUUGACAACUAUAUUCCAAUAUUUGAAAAUGAUAAUAAAUAUUGCUCUGAUGGACUAAAGACAUCUGCUGAUUUCAUAAAUUCUUCAGGAAAAUCACCUAUUAUGAAAGAAGUCAUAGGUGACCACAAUGGGAAAACCUGUGAUGAUGAAGAAUUUGAUAUUUCAUAUACUAUCCUGUAGGAGGAAAGUCCUAUAGCAGGACAGAACAAAACAACCACCACAUAUAAGUGGUAGAGUAUGACUGAAGACGUUCUAAGGUCAUUCUAUUCUUAUGUUCCUGUCUACCUCCCACUAAAUCAUAGCAGAAGAUAUUAUUACAAGAUCCUACUUCUGCUUUAUAUUUCACCAUAUUAGUUACAAAUAGUUUCCCUAAUUAUUCUUAUUUUAUGCUGUAGUUUAUAUAUUUGCUAUUAUAAUAAAUUUUAUUAAAUUGUGUUAUUGCUUACACUACAGUGUGCCUUGUUCAUGAUUCUCCAUAGUCUUUGGAAAAUGGCAUUUUUCAGUCUCUGCCUCUACAGCCCACUUCUAGUACUAGUUUUCCCACCUCAGUUACCAAAGUAUGGCCAGAAACUAAUGACAUUAAAAAUCUCUCAGAGUUAUGCCUCGAAUCCAGUGCCAUAAAAAACUAAAUAAAAUUCCAUUAACAAAAUUAAUCAUCACACUUGUUGAAAUUAGAGGUGGAUUAUGGUUUUUAGAAUACACAAAAUGACCUGAAAACAUAAGUGCCUUAGCAAUUGAAAUGUGAAAUUAAUUUGGGUUAUAAAAACAUACAUUAAGAAACAAGCAAAACUGGGUAUUGUAGCACCAGCAUCUCUAGACCAGAAGCUUCUACCUGGAUGGAGAGUAGAGUUGGAGACAUUAAGAAGUUAAGAGAAGGCAUUUGGCCAGAAUUUCCUGACAUGUUGUUCAGUAAUGAUUAAAAAGAGAUCUUGUGACAGAAAGAGAGAGAGAGAGAGAGAGAGAGAGAGAGAGAGAGAGAGAGAGAGAGAGAGAGAGGAGAAGAGAGAAGAGAAGAGAAGAGAAGAGAACAGAAGAGAACAGAAGAGAAGAGAAGAGAAGAGAAGAGAAGAGAAGAGAAGAGAAGAGAAGAAGAGAAGAGAGAGUAAAACGCUGGAGGCUCUUAAAUUUCAAUAAGCUGAAAGCUGCAUUACAUACACUCAGAAGUGCACAGAAGCAUACAGCAUAUUUGUUGUAUCUCUCUUCAUAACCAGAGACCUCAACAUGAAAUAUUCUUUAUUCAUGGUUUGUCUAUCUCAAAAGGGUCUUAAAUACAUUGGAGAUAUGGAAAUCUUAGAGAAAACCUCCAGUAAAAUAAUUCAUAAUUUCCAUAAUUACUGCUUCUUGGUCCCUCCUGAUAGGAGUAUUAUUUUAAGUUCAAAAUGUUUUC
rnacentral:lncRNA from 1 species